ensembl:processed_transcript
GGAGGAUUUAGUGCAAUCCCGAGCACAGACUGGUUGCAUCUGAGAAAGUGAGUGAUGCUCAGACAGGAUCCAGACAUUAUUGAAAAAGAAAGCACCCGUUGUGCCGUGCAAUCAUGGAAAGCAGAAGUUUUAAUUCUUAUGUAAACCUGGAUUUGAACGCUAUCGACUUCACAUCGCUGUAACUGUCUGCUUUGAAGUUCACAGCGACUAGUGAAACGCGUGGAAUCUCCUCGGAUCACCUUGGAAGAAACAUGAGUUUCAGUAAAUGGAGGGUGUAAUGAUGGAGGGACGUCGUCAGGUCACCGCGUGCGCGCUGCUGAUGCUCGUCU